rnacentral:misc_RNA from 1 species
UGUUUCCUCUCUCUCUCUCUCUCUCUCUCGUUUUCACUUGGAUCCCUUCAUCUCUCCGUCGCUUUCUCGCCGACCGCAACGGAAUGAGUGCCGGCAACCUUCUUAGCGUCGAGCCUCAGGAGCUCCAAUUUCCAUUUGAAUUGAGGAAGCAGAUCUCUUGUUCCCUACAGCUGUUAAAUAAGAACGACAAUUAUGUGGCUUUCAAGGUUAAGACGACGAAUCCAAAAAAGUACUGUGUUAGGCCUAAUACUGGGGUUGUGUCGCCAAGGUCCACUUGUGAUGUUAUAGUUACAAUGCAAGCACAAAAGGAGGCGCUGCAAGGACAAGUUUUUACUUCAGAGUGUAGUUGCAAGUCCUGGAGCUACCGCAAAGGAUGUCAAUGCAGAGAUGUUCAAUAAAGAGGCAGGACAUCAUGUUGAAGAGUGCAAAUUGAUGGUUGUUUAUGUUGCUCCUCCUAGACCUCCAUCACCGGUUCGAGAAGGAUCGGAGGAAGGUUCUUCACCCAGAGCUUCUGUGUCUGACGAUGGGAGUCUGAGCACCUCUGAACGAACAGUUGUUUCAAGAACUCAUGUUGAGAGACACGAGCCUCAAGAUAACUCAUCUGAGGCAAGGACUCUUAUUUCAAAGCUGACUGAGGAGAAAAAUUCUGCUAUUCAGCAAAACAAGAAGCUUCGACAAGAACUGGAGCUGUUGAUGCAUCAAUCCAGAAGUCGCGGUGGUAUCCCAUAUAUAUACGUUAUUGUUGUUGGUUUGAUUGGCAUCAUAUUGGGAUACCUCAUGAAAGGGACAUGACCGGUCAAGUUGCCUGUCAAUGAUUGCCUGACAUCCUUGCUGAAAAAUUGGAAUGUGGAAUGUUAACUUAUGGGUCUGUAUUGACCUUAGAGAAACAUGUCAAAUGUUAUGACUGGUAAGAUGAAAUUGUUGUUCACUAUUUUAAUGUAGGUUCUGUGAUUUGCAAAACUUAUUGGUGAGUAUUUUUC